ensembl:lncRNA
AAAAGAGAGACGCCACCCACCUGUUCGCCGCUCAGACAUCAGUAUCCUCGUGUCAGGAGCUCCGAAACUCUGCCGACGUCAGUCUCCGCCUGAUUCAGCAACUCUACUCACCAGACUGCUAUGUUCCACCUCUGAAAAUAAUCCUCACCUCAGGAUGCUGGACUUCUCGACAACUUCACAGCUACAGUUCUUGCUCUUUUCACUUGCCUGCCUGCCUCCCUGCCGCAGUAAUUGGAACCACUUGGACCCAACCACUCCACGCUGUUUCUCCACCUGUGGCAAUGACUCUGACCUCCUUGGUUCCCACCUGACUUUCCCUUUGCCUCACAUCACGGGAGCCCAGUCAGAGCAAUGCUCUAAUUAUUCACGUUGUCUGCCUAGCUCCAGUUUUGCUUAGUGUUGUUUAGUAUUUCCCGUUCUUGUCAUAGCUCACGUUGACUUCAUUAUUCAUUAUUCAUUCUUCUAGUUAAAAAUCACUCAUUGUAUUGUCUCACUGCGCUGUAAAUAAAUAUUGUUUCACACAUUUAUCCACACCUCCAUCUGAAUUCAGCACUUGAGUCCUUUUCCUCUGAUUUGGCUGUUUGCCAUGACAGCAUGCAGAAGAGCAUGCAAGCAGCAGAAGACCACACCAGGUUGUACUCCUAAGAACAAGUUGUGCAAAUUCAGAAGCAGAAAACUGGAAAAACAUUACCUCGUCUCAAGAGUCUCCAUUUCUGCUGCGACAUUCAGGUGGUGGGGUCAUAAUUUCAUGUAGACAACAAAAUUCUGACUUUUUUUUUUUUUCUCAGAAUUCUGGAAAGGAAGGAAAAAAAUAAUUUUUUUUUUUUUUUUCCAGUGGCCCUAAUCCUCUUCCGUAGAUUGACUACUUUUUCUUUUCACAUAUUUAUCUAUUGCUAAUACUUGCUGUGUUGUCUCACUCACGGUAACUAUCACGUAAUUUCUUCUUCAUCUUCAGCGAUUUUAAUGGCAACACAUUUAAUUAGAGUAGGUAGUUGUACUGCCCUCUAGUGGAAGAGAAUGUAAUUGUUCUCCCCUUUACUCACGCCGUUACUUAGAGUACUAAUCAGGUGGAACCAGAUAAUCUUCCACAGCACACCUGAUCAUUUCUCACAGCACACCUAUGUGCUGCUGCACAAUAGUUAAUAAUAAUAAUAAUAAUAAUAAUGGAUUGGAUUUAUAUAGUGCUUUUCAAGGCACCCAAAGCGCUUUACAAUGCCACUCACACACUGGUGGAGACAAGCUACGGUUGUAGCCACAGCUGCCCUGGGGCAGACUGACAGAAGCGAGGCUGCCAUAUCGCGCCAUCGGCCCCUCUGGCCGACACCAGUAGGGUAAAGUGUCUUGCCCAAGGACACAGCGACCAGGACAGAGAGCCCGGGCAUCGAACCGGCAACCUUCCGGUUACAGAUACGCUUCCCAACCCCCUGAGCCACGGUCGCCCCAAUAGUUGGGAAACACUGAUAUAGACAACGAGAGCAAGUGGUUCCAGCACCUUCCUGAUGCUGUGCAAUGAAGAACUGAAGCAGUUUGAAAGGCAAAAGAGGGUCCAAAUCAGCAGUGUGACGGUCUACCUUAGAGUGUCUGGUGAGUAUAUAUUGCACAGCACCAAAGCCCUGCAAUAGCCCAGGUUUGGGGAUUUAUUUCCUAGCCAGAAGGCGUUUGAG